AAAAAGAGAAACCCUGGUUUCCGUGCCCAACGUUUGACCGUCCGUCUUAUUUGAAAAAAUUAUAAAAAAAAUUAAAAAUACAAGUCACGCAUAAAAUAUUAAUCAUGUUUUAUCAUCUAACAACAAUAAAAAUACGAAUUAUAAUUUUUUUAUAUAAGACGGACAGUCAAAGUUGGACACGGAAAUCUAGGGUUUGCCUUUUU
rnacentral:pre_miRNA from 1 species